rnacentral:lncRNA from 1 species
UGAGACCCGCUAUUGGUCCAUCGGUAACCCAUGCAGGGCAGUCCGACGUGCAACAAGAGGACUUUAACCGGCUUUGCAGAGUAGUUGAGAAUCUGGCUACUAUGAUCAGAGAUAGGGAAUUACUGUCAGAGACAGCAUCGGUGCCACAAUAGGUUCAUUAAGGUGUAGUGGAUACAAGCAACACUGAGAAGUAUCGAAUGCU